rnacentral:rRNA from 1 species
AUUGAACGCUGGCGGCAUGCCUUACACAUGCAAGUCGAACGGCAGCGGGGACUUCGGUCCGCCGGCGAGUGGCGAACGGGUGAGUAAAGUAUCGGAACGUACCUUUCAGUGGGGGAUAACUGUCCGAAAGGACAGCUAAUACCGCAUAUUCUGUGAGCAGGAAAGCAGGGGAUCGCAAGACCUUGCGCUGAUUGAGCGGCCGAUAUCAGAUUAGCUAGUUGGUGAGGUAAAGGCUCACCAAGGCGACGAUCUGUAGCGGGUCUGAGAGGAUGAUCCGCCACACUGGAACUGAGACACGGUCCAGACUCCUACGGGAGGCAGCAGUGGGGAAUUUUGG